rnacentral:rRNA from 1 species
AGAGUUUGAUCAUGGCUCAGGAUGAACGCUGGCGGCAUGUCUAAGGCAUGCAAGUCUAGGGGUAGCUUGCUACCCCGGCAGACGGGUGCGUAACACAUUGGUAAUCUACCUUCGUCUCGAGUAUAACCCGGAGAAAUCUGGGACAAUCCUCGAUAGUCAUGGGGGGUCGCAAGACAUUCCCAUGUAAAGAUUUAUCGGACGAAGAGGAGCCUAUGGUACAUCAGCUUGUUGGUAGGGUAACGGCCUACCAAGGCUAUGACGUAUAGCGGGUGUGAGAGCAUGACCCGCCUCACUGGGACUGAAACACUGCCCAGACUCCUACGGGAGGCUGCAGUCAAGAAUCUUCCGCAAUGGACGAAAGUCUGACGGAGCAAUGCCGCGUGAUCGAAGAAGCCCCUCGGGGUGUAAAGAUCUUUUAUGAGGGACGAAUUCGUGACGGUACCUCAUGAAUAAGCAACUGCUAACUUCGUGCCAGCAGCAGCGGUAAUACGAAGGUUGCAAGCGUUAUCCGGAAUGAUUGGGCGUAAAGCGUCCGCAGACGGUUUGGUAAGUCUUUUGUUAAAUCCCGAAGCUCAACUUCGGGGCCGCGAAGGAUACUGCCUUACUCGAGGCUGGUANANGUGANCGGAAUUACUGGUGUA